UGGGGGAUAAUUUAACGGUAGAAUAGCGGACUCUGACUCCGUUCGUCUUGGUUCGAAUCCAGGUCCCCCAGCCA
rnacentral:tRNA from 1 species